rnacentral:misc_RNA from 1 species
CUUUGCUUGCGCAACAACUUCCACGCAUGCAUACCUCUUCAGUUUAGCGACAAGGCUCAUUUUGCCUUGAGCGUUCUGUGGGUUUCCUGUGUUGCAUACCUAAUCGAUGGUAAUCUGUUGAUCAAUCAUUGUUCCCUUUCGUCAUGCGUCGCUCUUGCGGCGUGGGGCGAACCUCGUAGCGUUCUCUAUGAUCCACCUUGUCAAUGUCCAUGCAUUGAUGAGUUGGGCCAUUGAGCAUUGCUUGGUCUCUUGGAUACGGAACCUUAUGCGGGCAUGGGAUCGUACUUGAUCCCUCAUUUGCCCCUGUUACGCGUUCUCGCUUCUCCAAAACGACUGCUUGUCACGUGUUGGCAUGUCCAUGCGUCGCAGGCAACGUCGAAGAGGAAUGCUACCUGGUUGAUCCUGCCAGUAGUCAUAUGCUUGUCUCAAAGAUUAAGCCAUGCAUGUGUAAGU